rnacentral:rRNA from 1 species
ACAUGCAAGUCGAGGGGCAGCAUGGUCUUAGCUUGCUAAGGCCGAUGGCGACCGGCGCACGGGUGAGUAACACGUAUCCAACCUGCCGUCUACUCUUGGACAGCCUUCUGAAAGGAAGAUUAAUACAAGAUGGCAUCAUGAGUUCACAUGUUCACAUGAUUAAAGGUAUUCCGGUAGACGAUGGGGAUGCGUUCCAUUAGAUAGUAGGCGGGGUAACGGCCCACCUAGUCUUCGAUGGAUAGGGGUUCUGAGAGGAAGGUCCCCCACAUUGGAACUGAGACACGGUCCAAACUCCUACGGGAGGCAGCAGUGAGGAAUAUUGGUCAAUGGGCGAGAGCCUGAACCAGCCAAGUAGCGUGAAGGAUGACUGCCCUAUGGGUUGUAAACUUCUUUUAUAAAGGAAUAAAGUCGGGUAUGCAUACCCGUUUGCAUGUACUUUAUGAAUAAGGAUCGGCUAACUCCGUGCCAGCAGCCGCGGUAAUACGGAGGAUCCGAGCGUUAUCCGGAUUUAUUGGGUUUAAAGGGAGCGUAGAUGGAUGUUUAAGUCAGUUGUGAAAGUUUGCGGCUCAACCGUAAAAUUGCAGUUGAUACUGGAUAUCUUGAGUGCAGUUGAGGCAGGCGGAAUUCGUGGUGUAGCGGUGAAAUGCUUAGAUAUCACGAAGAACUCCGAUUGCGAAGGCAGCCUGCUAAGCUGCAACUGACAUUGAGGCUCGAAAGUGUGGGUAUCAAACAGGAUUAGAUACCCUGGUAGUCCACACGGUAAACGAUGAAUACUCGCUGUUUGCGAUAUACAGCAAGCGGCCAAGCGAAAGCGUUAAGUAUUCCACCUGGGGAGUACGCCGGCAACGGUGAAACUCAAAGGAAUUGACGGG